AAAAUGGAGAGUUUGAUCCUGGCUCAGGAUGAACGCUGGCGGUAUGCUUAACACAUGCAAGUCGAACGGUCUUUUCGGAGACAGUGGCGGACGGGUGAGUAACGCGUAAGAAUCUACCCUCAGGUCGGGGACAACCACUGGAAACGGUGGCUAAUACCGGAUGUGCCGAGAGGUGAAAGGCUUGCUGCCUGGGGAAGAGCUUGCGUCUGAUUAGCUAGUUGGUAGUGUAAGAGACUACCAAGGCGACGAUCAGUAGCUGGUCUGAGAGGAUGAUCAGCCACACUGGGACUGAGACACGGCCCAGACUCCUACGGGAGGCAGCAGUGGGGAAUUUUCCGCAAUGGGCGAAAGCCUGACGGAGCAAUACCGCGUGAGGGAGGAAGGCUCUUGGGUUGUAAACCUCUUUUCUCAGGGAAGAAAAAAAUGACGGUACCUGAGGAAUAAGCAUCGGCUAACUCCGUGCCAGCAGCCGCGGUAAUACGGAGGAUGCAAGCGUUAUCCGGAAUGAUUGGGCGUAAAGGGUCCGCAGGUGGCAUUGAAAGUCUGCUGUUAAAGAGUUUGGCUCAACCAAAUAAAAGCAGUGGAAACUACAAAGCUAGAGUUUGGUCGGGGCAGAGGGAAUUCCUGGUGUAGCGGUGAAAUGCGUAGAUAUCAGGAAGAACACCAGUGGCGAAGGCGCUCUGCUAGGCCGAGACUGACACUGAGGGACGAAAGCUAGGGGAGCGAAUGGGAUUAGAUACCCCAGUAGUCCUAGCCGUAAACGAUGGAUACUAGGCGUAGCUCGUAUCGACCCGAGCUGUGCCGGAGCUAACGCGUUAAGUAUCCCGCCUGGGGAGUACGCAGGCAACUGUGAAACUCAAAGGAAUUGACGGGGGCCCGCACAAGCGGUGGAGUAUGUGGUUUAAUUCGAUGCAACGCGAAGAACCUUACCAAGGCUUGACAUGUCACGAAU
rnacentral:rRNA from 1 species